GUCUCAAAGAUUAAGCCAUGCAUGUCUAAGUAUAAGCAUUUAUACUGUGAAACUGCGAAUGGCUCAUUAAAUCAGUUAUUGUUUAUUUGAUGGUACCUUUACUACUUGGAUAACCGUGGUAAUUCUAGAGCUAAUACAUGCUAAAAACCCCGACUCACGAAGGGGUGUAUUUAUUAGAUUCAAACCAGUGUCCCUCGGGACUUUUUGGUGACUCAUAAUAACUUAACGCAGCGCAUGGCCUUCGUGCCGGCGCGGGAUCAUUCAAAUACCUGCCCUAUCAAGUUUCGAUGUGAGGGUAGUGUCCUCACAUGCUUUUGACGGGUAACGGGGAAUUAGGGUUCGACUCCGGAGAGGGAGCCUGAGAAACGGCUACCACAUCCAAGGAAGGCAGCAGGCGCGCAAAUUACCCAAUCCCGAUACGGGGAGGUAGUGACAAGAAAUACCGAUUCAGGAUCUUAUUGGAUCUUGAGAUUGGAAUGAGUACAAUUCAAACCCAUUAACGAGGAACAACUAGAGGGCAAGUCUGGUGCCAGCAGCCGCGGUAAUUCCAGCUCUAGUAGCGUAUAUUAAAAUUGUUGCAGUUAAAACGCUCGUAGUUGAACUUUGGGCUUGGCUGGCUGGUCCGCCUCACCGCGAGCACUGGUCCGGCUGGGCCUUUCCUCUUGGGGAUCCACAUGCCCUUCACUUGGGUGUGUCGGGGAACCAGGACUUUUACUUUGAAAAAAUUAGGGUGUUCAAAGCAGGCAUUUGCUCGAAUACAUUAGCAUGGGAUAAUAGAAUAGGACGUGUGGUCUUAUUUUGUUGGUUUCUAGGACCGCCGUAAUGAUUGAUAGGGAUAGUUGGGGGCAUCGGUAUUCAAUUGUCAGAGGUGAAAUUCUUGGAUUUAUUGAAGACCAACUACUGCGAAAGCAUUUGCCAAAGAUGUUUUCAUUAAUCAGGGAACGAAAGUUAGGGGAUCGAAGAUGAUCAGAUACCGUCGUAGUCUUAACCGUAAACUAUGCCGACUAGGGAUCGGGUGGUGUUCCAUUU
rnacentral:rRNA from 1 species